GAUGAAGAACGUAGCAAAAUGCGAUAAGUAAUGUGAAUUGCAGAAUUCAGUGAAUCAUCGAAUCUUUGAACGCACAUUGCGCCCGCCAGUAUUCUGGCGGGCAUGCCUGUUCGAGCGUCAUUUCAACCCUCAAGCACAGCUUGGUGUUGGGACUCGCGUUAAUUCGCGUUCCCCAAAUUGAUUGGCGGUCACGUCGAGCUUCCAUAGCGUAGUAGUAAAACCCUCGUUACUGGUAAUCGUCGCGGCCACGCCGUUAAACCCCAACUUCUGAAUGUUGACCUCGGAUCAGGUAGGAAUACCCGCUGAACUUAAGCAUAUCAAUAAGCGGGGA
rnacentral:misc_RNA from 1 species